AUCUACGGCCAUACCUAGGCGAAAACACCAGUUAAGCGUCUGAGGGCUUCGUUAGUACUGCGGUUGGAGACAACGCGGAAUCCGGAGUGCUGUAGGUU
rnacentral:rRNA from 1 species